GAUUCUGUGGUGUAGUGGUUAUCACAUGUGUUUUACAUGCACAAGGCCCUCAGUUCGAUCCUGAGCAGAAGCA